AUACUUACCUGGCAGGGGAGAUGCCAUGAUCAUGAAGGUGGUUUUCUCAGAGCAAGUCUUAUCUUUUGCACUCCUGAUGUGCCGACUCCUGUGAUUUCCACAAAUGUAGGAAACAAGACUUCAUAAUUUAUGGUCAUAGGGGACUGUGCUUGUGCUCGCCACUG
ensembl:snRNA Gm23727 U1 spliceosomal RNA